rnacentral:rRNA from 1 species
UAGAGUUUGAUCCUGGCUCAGAAUGAACGUUGGCGGCGUGGAUUAGGCAUGCAAGUCGUGCGAGAAGUUUCCUUCGGGGAACGGACAGCGGCGAAAGGGAGAGUAAUACGUAGAAAUCUGCCCCCUGGUCUGGGAUAGCGUUGGGAAACUGGCGGUAAUACCGGAUAAUGUCUUCGGACCAAAGGUGUGAUUCCGCCGGGGGAUGAGUCUACGACCUAUUAGCUAGUUGGCGGGGUAAUAGCCCACCAAGGCGAUGAUGGGUAGCGGGUGUGAGAGCAUGACCCGCCUCACUGGGACUGAGACACUGCCCAGACAUCUACGGAUGGCUGCAGUCGAGAAUCUUUGUCAAUGGACGAAAGUCUGAACAAGCGACGCCGCGUGCGGGAUGAAGGCCUUCGGGUUGUAAACCGCUGUCGUAAGGGAGCAAAUCCAUGGGGGUACUCCCCCAUGGUUGAGUGAUCUUAGGAGGAAGGACGGGCUAAGUUCGUGCCGGCAGCCGCGGUAAGACGAACCGUCCAAACGUUAUUCGGUAUCACUGGGCUUAAAGAGUUCGUAGGCGGCCAUGUAGGUCAGGUGUGAAAUCCCACAGCUCAACUGUGGAACUGCGCUUGAAACCACAUGGCUUGAGGAAGAUAGAGGUGAGCGGAACAGAUGGUGGAGCGGUGAAAUGCGUUGAUAUCAUCUGGAACACCGGUGGCGAAAGCGGCUCACUGGAUCUUUUCUGACGCUGAGGAACGAAAGCUAGGGUAGCGAACGGGAUUAGAUACCCCGGUAGUCCUAGCCGUAAACGAUGAGCACUAGUCCGUGGGAACCCUCACAUUUUCUCGGACGUAGCGAAAGUGUUAAGUGCUCCGCCUGGGGAGUAUGGUCGCAAGGCAA